rnacentral:misc_RNA from 1 species
CGCAUAUUGCGCCCAUUAGUAUUCUAGUGGGCAUGCCUAUUCGAGCGUCAUUUUCAACCCUUAAGCAACUUAAGCUUAGCGUUGGGAGUCUGCGUCUUACAGCGCAGUUCCCUAAAGGCAGUGGCAGUGUUAGGUGCACUCGUAGCGUAGUAAUUCUUUUCUCGCUUCUGUAGUGUCGCCUGGCGUACUUGCCGUUAAAAACCCCCAUUCUAAAAAAAAGGUUGACCUCGGAUUAGGUAGGAAUACCCGCUGAACUUAA